rnacentral:rRNA from 1 species
GAUGAACGCUGGCGGCGUGCCUAAUACAUGCAAGUCGAGCGAACAGACGAGGAGCUUGCUCCUCUGACGUUAGCGGCGGACGGGUGAGUAACACGUGGAAAACCUACCUAUAAGACUGGGAUAACUUCGGGAAACCGGAGCUAAUACCGGAUAAUAUAUUGAACCGCAUGGUUCAAUAGUGAAAGACGGUUUUGCUGUCACUUAUAGAUGGAUCCGCGCCGCAUUAGCUAGUUGGUAAGGUAACGGCUUACCAAGGCGACGAUGCGUAGCCGACCUGAGAGAGGGAUCGGCCACACUGGAGCUGAGACACGGUCCAUACUCCUACGAGAGGCAGCAGUAUGGAAUCUUCCGCAAUGGGCGAAAGCCUGACGGAGCAACGCCGCGUGAGUGAUGAAGGUCUUCGGAUCGUAAAACUCUGUUAUUAGUUAAGAACAAAUGUGUAAGUAACUAUGCACGUCUUGACGGUACCUAAUCAGAAAGCCACGGCUAACUACGUG